rnacentral:rRNA from 1 species
AGAGUUUGAUCAUGGCUCAGGACGAACGCUGGCGGCGUGCUUAACACAUGCAAGUCGAGCGGUAAGGCCUCUUUGGGGGUACACGAGCGGCGAACGGGUGAGUAACACGUGGGUGACCUGCCCUUCACUCUGGGAUAAGCUUGGGAAACUGGGUCUAAUACCGGAUAUUCACAUUGUCUCGCAUGGGGUGGUGUGGAAAGCUGUGUUCUUUGUUGGGCACUGUGGUGGGGGAUGGGCCCGCGGCCUAUCAGCUUGUUGGUGGGGUGAUGGCCUACCAAGGCGACGACGGGUAGCCGGCCUGAGAGGGCGACCGGCCACACUGGGACUGAGACACGGCCCAGACUCCUACGGGAGGCAGCAGUGGGGAAUAUUGCGCAAUGGGCGGAAGCCUGACGCAGCGACGCCGCGUGGGGGAUGACGGCCUUCGGGUUGUAAACCUCUUUCGACUUCGACGAAGCCUUUGGGUGACGGUAGGGGUGGAAGAAGCACCGGCCAACUACGUGCCAGCAGCCGCGGUAAUACGUAGGGUGCGAGCGUUGUCCGGAAUUAUUGGGCGUAAAGAGCUCGUAGGCGGUGUGUCGCGUCGGCCGUGAAAACCUGCAGCUUAACUGUGGGCUUGCGGUCGAUACGGGCAUCACUGGAGUUCGGCAGGGGAGACUGGAAUUCCUGGUAGCGGUGAAAUGCGCAGAUAUCAGGAGGAACACCGGUGGCGAAGGCGGGUCUCUGGGCCGAUACUGACGCUGAGGAGCGAAAGCGUGGGGAGCAAACAGGAUUAGAUACCCCGGUAGUCC